rnacentral:rRNA from 1 species
AUUGAACGCUGGCGGCAGGCUUAACACAUGCAAGUCGAGCGGGGUGAUGGUGCUUGCACUAUCACUUAGCGGCGGACGGGUGAGUAAUGCUUAGGAAUCUGCCUAUUAGUGGGGGACAACAUCGCGAAAGGGAUGCUAAUACCGCAUACGUCCUACGGGAGAAAGCAGGGGAGCACUUGUGACCUUGCGCUAAUAGAUGAGCCUAAGUCGUAUUAGCUAGUUGGUGGGGUAAAGGCCUACCAAGGCGACGAUCUGUAGCGGGUCUGAGAGGAUGAUCCGCCACACUGGGACUGAGACACGGCCCAGACUCCUACGGGAGGCAGCAGUGGGGAAUAUUGGACAAUGGGGGGAACCCUGAUCCAGCCAUGCCGCGUGUGUGAAGAAGGCCUUAUGGUUGUAAAGCACUUUAAGCGAGGAGGAGGCUCUUUUGGUUAAUACCCAAGAUGAGUGGACGUUACUCGCAGAAUAAGCACCGGCUAACUCUGUGCCAGCCGCCGCCGUAA